AUUGAACGCUGGCGGCAUGCUUUACACAUGCAAGUCGAACGGUAACAGGCCGCAAGGUGCUGACGAGUGGCGAACGGGUGAGUAAUGCAUCGGAACGUGCCCAGUCGUGGGGGAUAACUACUCGAAAGAGUAGCUAAUACCGCAUACGAUCUAUGGAUGAAAGCGGGGAACGUAAGGCCCCGCGCGAAUGGAGCGGCCGAUGUCAGAUUAGGUAGUUGGUGGGGUAAAGGCUCACCAAGCCAACGAUCUGUAGCUGGUCUGAGAGGACGACCAGCCACACUGGGACUGAGACACGGCCCAGACUCCUACGGGAGGCAGCAGUGGGGAAUUUUGGACAAUGGGCGCAAGCCUGAUCCAGCAAUGCCGCGUGCAGGAAGAAGGCCUUCGGGUUGUAAACUGCUUUUGUACGGAACGAAACGGCUCUGGUUAAUACCCGGGGCUAAUGACGGUACCGUAAGAAUAAGCACCGGCUAACUACGUG
rnacentral:rRNA from 1 species